rnacentral:lncRNA from 1 species
AAACUGGCCAGGGUCCAUGAGCCCCCCAACUGAACUACCAAAGUGCCUAGCAAGUCAAACCCAUGUAUGCGUCUUGCCUUCCAAGGAACUCCUGCCUUCCAGGAAAUAUCCUGCCUUCCAGGAGAAAGCCUUACCUUCCAAGAGCCCCAUGAAUCGAACCCGCGACCUUUGAACUGCCCGCCUUGAAGAACUCCGUCCUUUGCCAGUUGGGAUGUGCCCCGGGGGGCAAGAGGGGCAUCUUUUGUUAGGAAGAU